UGCACGACGAGAGAAGAGUCAAGCAAAGAACGGAGCUACGAGAGAGAUUACCAUUAUCUAUUAUAUCGGUUCAGCAUCUUAAAAAGGUUUCAAAUAUCCCGUUUGAGGCUUUGAACUCCUACAUUUUCAUCAAUUACCGGAUCCAGAUCUCUAAGAGACAUUCACCUGAAAGAGAUGGCUGACAACCCGAAUGCCACAUCCACCUUGUACUCUUAUAUAAAGGAGAGCAACAACGUGACAAUCAACCACAACCAAACCUCAUCGUCGGAUGUCAAUGGGGCUGCUAGAGGGACCCAAGUCGAGGUCCCUCAGGAGCGAGUCAUAAGAGCUGGCUUGAGAUGUGAGGCUGGAUUUUCAGGUAAGAGUCAUGGCUCCUUCCAGUGACACCACCAAAACAAUUUAUU